GACGAAGGAUGCAAGCGUUAUCCGGAUUCAUUGGGUUUAAAGGGAGCGUAGGCGGCCCUGUAAGUCAGUGGUGAAAUCUCGCAGCUUAACUGCGAAAUUGCCAUUGAUACUGCAGGGCUUGAGUACAGUUGCUGUGGGCGGAAUAUGACAUGUAGUGGUGAAGUACAUAGAGAUGUCAUAGAACACCGAUUGCGAAGGCAGCUCACAAAACUGUAACUGACGCUGAGGCUCGAAAGUGCGGGGAUC
rnacentral:rRNA from 1 species